GGGCUGGCUUUAGCUCAGCGGUUACUUCGCAGUUCAGCAAACCACCUCUCUGGGUUGUUCGAGACCCGCGGGCACUCUCCAGCCCUUUU
rnacentral:vault_RNA from 8 species